rnacentral:misc_RNA from 1 species
UAUAUUUUGAAAAAUAUACUAUUUUGUCUUUAUAUUUAUUUCCAUUAAUCUACUCAGUCCCUACGUCAAAUUUUCUGUUAAUCAAACUACUAUUUAGUCCAUUUAUUUUAGUGAAUCUAAUUAGUUGCUCCCUAUAUUUUAAAAAGCAUAUUAGUUGGUUAUUGUAAUUUGGUUCUAUUAACUCAUUAGUCUCUCUGUUUUUUUUGUAUACCCUAAUUAACCUGACCCUCUAUCCCUCGUUUCUCUCUCACCCACCCUUAUUUCUCUCCCCUUAUACUUCUCCUCCUCCUCUUGCACCCAUAAUCUUCUCUCCCUCAUUCUCUCUCUAUUUUCAUCUUUUCAUUUUAAUUGGUAAGAGCUCUAUGCAUAAAAAGGCUAUUCAAUUCUUCUAAAUCUCCAAGCAAUAAGAUGAUAAUUUAGGAAAAUUAUUUUUUCAAUAGAGAAAACACAAAAAUGA